rnacentral:lncRNA from 1 species
AGACGAAGAACAACACGAGAUGAUGAAGAAAAAGAGUAAGAGAAGUUGCUUCUUUAGAAAUCUUACUUAGACAGAUACUGAAAAGUGAGAAACUGAUAACAUAAUUCAUUAUUUAUACUGGAAAAAUGGCUUUCACGAAUUCCGAAAGCCACAAUUAACUGCGCAACCAACCAUAAAACGGUUCGAAUGUAUGGAAACGGGUGUCAUAAUGACAAGUAAAUUCAGCAAUCCCGGUACGUGGGGGGAACGCCCAGUGUGCCUUCCUACACCGAGAACUAUUGCAGUGUACGUCCAGUGCACCCAUAACCGCCGAAGCCGCCUGCGGGAAUACAUUGUCUCGAGUUAAAACAUCCUACGACCAUCUUCCUAAAAAUUAUAAAUGAAGGGCUACGACUAUCUUCCUAAACAGUAUAAAUGGGUACGACCAUCCCACCAAAACUACCAAGGGCUAUAACUAUCCCCAAUCCCUAAAUGUAAAAUGAUUACGACCACUCUUCAGGUGCGUUGAUGGUAACAGCCGUCUCAUAAAUAUAAGCGACCACGUACGUCUUCAAGGUAAAAAACGACUGCGACUGUUCUUGUCACACCUCCGUUUUCCGCACCGCAAGGGCGCAAGGGAGUUCUUCCAAUUAAAGGACAAUCGAAAUAGGAUUAUUUAUUAAAGAUUCAGAGUCGCCACUUGGGAAAUAUAUAGUGUCCCAAGUCACCGGUUAAAUCCCAAAUCGAGGAAAAGAAUGACUCUAUUAAACAGUCCGCGCACCAGAAAUCCGGAUAAGGAAUUCUGUUAACCCGGGAGAAGGUGUUAGGCACUCCCGAGUUCCGUGGUUCUAGUACAGUCGCUCAACUGUCAUAUUCAGCUUAAUUAUCUGACUUUUACAAUUAUAUACUUAGUACAAUUCAUGAUUCUUUUAACCGCUUUAUUAUUAUUAUUAUUAUUUACAUAGAAUUGCAACAUUAUGAAAAUAUAUCUCGGACCACGUCACAGCCAGUGUACUCGUGGUCGUUGACACAUUUUGACUCUGUCGAUAUUUAGAUUUAGGUCGCAUAAAUGCGCACCCGAGUGUAGGAAGGCAAGAUUAAUUAAGGUGCGUCCUAAAGAGAGUCUAGCGAGUUGUAAUCUUUUGGGAGGAGGCCAUGGAAUUUGUUAAAUGGCCUAAUCCGAAGUCUAUCCGCUUAUUGAUCCUUUUAAUUGAGCACAUCACAAUUUUAUAAUCUUUUUUGGCGAGGCUCGCCCAUUUCAUUUUUAAAGGAUAUCCUAAAGCGACUAUUACUUUUUAUUUAUUUGAGUCUCCAAAGAAAAACGAAAAUCCUAUAUUAUUUACAAGUUAGUAUUAUUAGCCUAAGUUAUAAGCAUGGUAUUAAUUCCGAAAAAAUGAGUACGGGGAAGGAAGGAAUUGUUAACAGCUUGGCCCAACGUGCAUAGGUCAAAACUGGAGCCCGGGCCAUCUCGUUUUUAUCCUGGAGGCCUAGUUAUAUUAUCUACAUGUGUUUGAUAUUAACAAAUGAAGGCAGGAAUGAAAAGGUUGUCUUAAAUAUACAAGUUUUUGCCAAUUGGCUAUGCUAUUUGCCCAUUGAUCACCUACAAUCUGUUCAUGCUUCUACAUAACAUAGGCAGGAAAUGACGAGAACAUGAACUACUGUAUCACUAUCGUUUUAAAACACUAGCAUACGAGGAAAGAGUUUAACAUUUAUACUAUUACAGAUUAGUAUUCAGCUUUACAUGACAAUUAAUGACAUGAACCUAGUGAACUAACAACUAACAUAUAUAUACAACAUCAUAAGGUAUGAAUACAGCUACAAGACUUCAAGCUUUAAGGCUUCAUUUUUUAUUCAUGCUUCAAACUUUCAGCUACAUUGUGUACCAGUGUAGUUUGUGUACCUGGUAUUUAUGAUUCAAAGGAAGGAAGGAAGGAUCCGUAGUGAACAGGCAGUAACAAACACAUCACAACAACAGGUUCAGCAACAGAGAUUUCCAGCAAUAAUAGCAAUAAACCAGUGGCAAUAGAAGACCCAGGAAGGAUUUGAAAUCAAGCAGGACACUUUAAGAAACCAACAACAAUUCCAGAAAGUCCAAACAGCAACACCAAAUGUAUGACAAUAAUACCAGAAAGACAAUAGAGGUGAACCAGUACUCAAACCCAAAAAAUAUGGUCUGGUAGCAGAUGGAUAAUACGUAACACACUCAAGAACAACCACAAGCAACUUCAAGGAGCUAAAUAGCAAUACCAAAUGAACUCUAGUAAUACUAUAUGCACUCAACACCAAAACAAGAGGACCAUUUACAAGAGAAGCAAUGCUUCUGAUUCUGAAAACUCCAGGAAAAGCAAGUCAGCUUAAGUUUUAAAUAAAGACCAGCCUUAAACUCUCUCCGGAUUCAAAGAAGCCGACAGAAAAAUGCUCUCCGACUGACCCCUUUCUUUCAAAGAAAAUCCCCCCUUUUAUUCCAUUCUCUCCUCUCAAACACAUUUUCCUUUUCCGGAUUUUAAGCCUUAGUGGAUAGGUAAUCAUACCUGAAUUUGUCCAUUUAAAACAAAAGUAGUCUUCCACUAAUAGUUGUCUAUUAACUUUCCAAUCCCACUUAGAAAUGUCCUCUGUUGUUCAUUAGUGCCCUACUUAUUACUUAGUGGCCCACUAAUCCCACUAGUUCAAAUUAAAGUUGUUAAGGACCUACAGGAUAGACCAAACAGCCAAUCUAAAUUUCCUUAUUUUCUAUUUUUAAAACACCCCUGGAUCCUACUGGCUGCCACUGUUCUGAUUUAGAACAUCAGAAGACAAAACUAUACCUCUAAUUUUUGAUAUUAUCUUCUAAUUAACAGCUAUAGCCAAUCUUUAAUAAAGAAAUCACAGAACUGAAUCUAUAAUUAACAUUUAAACAUAAAACCAUCUAGUACUGAACAAAAAUGAAUUGAAACUAAUAAGCUCAGUUUUUCAACUUGGGUACCAACAGGCUCAAUCCAAUAACAACAUUAGAAAAGAAACAGGCUAAGCAAAACUACUGAACUUGAACAAUAAUUGCCUAUUAUCAAGUAAUUUUAUCAUUCAACCAUGAAAGACUAACUGACAAAUUUAUUUAAAUGAUUAUGUAGUUUAUAACAUAGAUGCAAUUAACAACAGACCAACAGAAUUAAAACAAACUAACAAGGUGAUUUCAGUUAACUUUAAUCAACCACAUAAACAACAAACACAGGAUAUGCAAACAUGUCGACUCCUGGCUUUGGGGUAAAACAAUGGACCAAAUAUGAACUAAUUACUGGAUGAUAAACACACAGUUCAUCAAACAAGCAGAAAGAAUCAACCAAAUAAAAGGUCUACUGAAGAUGGACAGAAUUGAAAGAAGAAUGAUAGAAAAAUCAAACACACUAAACUAAUCUGUAAACAAACACAAAAUAAAACACAAAUAAGAACCAGGUUAGCAGAACUAAUGAAUAGAGGCAUAUGCACAAGAGAAAGCAUACUGGCAAUUUAGCACUUGAAGCUACUAUUCAUGUUCUUCUAAAUUCUUUCAGUUUUCAAGUGAAUUCAGUUGACGACCUAUAAUUAAACGAUUAUAUGAAUAAUAUCAUAUGGCAAAACAAUCAAUUAACAGGGUGUAACAGGCAUGUUCUGGAUUUCAAUGGUUUAUCAGGGAACAUAAGAAUGAACUAAAUUAUUCUACGACUAAACACAUAACAAACAAUAACAGCAAAUAACAAAAAAAAUGAAUAGAAGAAAAGGACCAAACUAAAGGGUCUAUGGAGAUGAACAGAAUUGAAAGAAGAAAAUAAUAUAAGAAUCAAACAAAUCAGACCAGUCAUGCAAACAACAAAAAUAUAUGCAAAUAAGGAAAGAAGGAAAAAGAAGUACUUAUCUCUUAAAGCUCAAGAACAAACGACCCCAGGUCUCCAUGGACUCGACCAUUUUAAGUCGAACGGACCUUAAUCGGGGUGUUCUCAGUUGAUAACACCUAGAUUAAGGUCAACUAGACCUCAACCUCCCAUCGAUUUGAACAGAUUCCAUAGCUUUGGAAUUCUAGGGUUCAUGCGUUUGAUUUAGGGUUCGAACGUCUCCGGAUUCGAAGGAUUGGUUUGGAUAUUCGUGUUGGGCGUGGAAAGGGGGUUUAGUAGCAUAAAUAUGGUGACCGGCGGUGUAUUUGCCGCUGGGUUUCUGGUGUAAAGCGUUCAAGGGCUGCUAGGGUUUCAGGGGGUUUGUCUCUGAUGGUUUGAGAGAGAUGAAGAGGAAGAGGGUGGGGUGGCUUAUGGGGGGGUGCGGGGUGAGAGAAUGAGCUUAUAUACAAAGUGGGAGAAAUGAUCUUGGCCAUUAGAUCAUUCAAGAUCAAUGGCUAGGAUCACAAGGAUUAACCAAUACGGCGUCGUUUGGUUUAAGUGAGGGUGUUUGUGGGGAACGGGUAAUGAGUCGGGUUAGGAAAUGGGUAGGAGAGGGUUAAUCUUGAACGUUGGAUUAAAAGAGAUCAAUGGUUUGGAUUAAUUGGCCAUAUACGACGUCGUUUGGAUCAAAUCGGGAGACGGACUGGACCGUAAGAUCGAAUGAGAUCAACGGCCUAGAUCCGAGGUUCAGAAGACGCUGUUUCUCUUGUCUCAGUGAUCAGGUGAAAUGGACUGGGUCAUUACAUAAUUUGGGCCUAAUUUUUGGUUUUCAAAAUUCGGCCCAAUCCGAUUUGGCUCAAAUUUUUGCACUCUUUUUUUUCCUUCUUUAUAAUUAAAUAAAAUUCCUAAUUAAUUUGUAAAAAUAAAAAAAUAACACUACAAAAAUAUUAAUUAAUACUGAACAACAAUAAACACACACAUUUAAUUAAAAUAAAAUCACAUAAUGACAACAAAUAGAAUAAAAAUACAUAUUUUUGUGGUUUUCACUUUUAAAAAUCAAAUUAUGGUUUAAUUAAUUCCUAAAUGCACAAUUAAAUCCUAAACAUGCAUGAAACAUAUAUGUUUUAUAUUUUUUGGUUAACUACAACUAAUUAAAAUUGUACCCGAAGGUAACUUGUUUUUAUUUUGAUUUCUUUUGGAAUAGUUUCCUUGAAGAAAAAAUCACGUGCUCACAGCUACCCCUCUUUAUCCGAAAGCACAAAGAGCUUUGUGUUUUUGUGCAAAGAUAAAGUGAGCGGAUACGAGCGAUUUUUGCCCGUUGGAAUACUCCGUGUGAAGCAUUUUUUGAAACGGAUUUAACCGAACCUUUGCUUCAAAGGUUUCCUACAUAUCCUUAGCUAAAAGGGAAUUAGGUCAACGUAGUUCAAGAAGUUUCAGUAGCUGGGACUACCGUGGAACUGCGGUUUUUCUAUUACUACUGCUGUAUGCUGUUACCACUGCUUUACUGAUGUCCUUCUUACGCCGUUUCAAAAGGGAAAAAGAAAAAGCUAGGUUAGCCUACGGAUCACAAGAUCCUAUCUAUCUUCCAAUUGUUUUUGAUGGCCUUGCAUUCUUGUCAUCUUGGGUUUCUUCCGGUGCUUCUUUCUUCCGAGAGCUUGGGGAUGAUGCUGACCUUUUGCCUGUCUCAACACUAGUUUUCAUUGAUAUUUGCUUGGUCUGCUGGGGAUAUGGCUUCCUUCAUUACGUUUUUUGGCAAUUCCACUGGGGAUGUUUUCCCUCUAUAUUGGCGAUUCCACUGGAGCUACGGCUUUCUUCAUCAGCAUUUGUUAUGCUGGGGCUUUUGUUGUAACCUUCUGCCUUUCGGGGGGUUACCGAUUUCAAAUCAUAAUUGCAAAGCUAUAUGACUGGAGUUAUAUGCGAUGUGGUUAUAUGAGAUGUAGAUUCAAAGUGACACGUAGUCACAUGAGAUGCAGAUGCAAGAUGGCGCAUAGUCAUAUGAGAUGGAGAUGCAAAGUGACACGUAGUCGCAUGAGAUGUAUAUGAGAUGUAGAUGCAAAGUGACACGUAGUUACAUGAGAUGUUGAUGCAAGACGAUGCGUAGUCAUAUGAGAUGUAGAUGCAAAGUGACACGUAGUCACAUGAAAUGUGGAUGCUAAGUGAUGCGUAGUCACAUGAGAUGUAAAUGCAAAAUGACACGUAGUCAUAUCAGAUGUAGAUGCAAAGUGACGCGUAGUCACAUGAGAUGUAGAUACAAGAUGACUCGUAGUCAUAUGAGAUGCAGAUGCAAAGCUGCUAUGACACGUAGUCACAUGAGAUGUAGUAUGCAAUGUUAUACGACACGUAGUCAUAUGAGAUGAAGUCAUAACUUGAAUUCGGUUCCCCCCUUAGUACGCCCUUCUGCCAUUAUCAGCGUUUCUGCUUCAAAUCAAAGAAAACCUUAUUAGUUCAAAACAUGGUGAGUGGUUGUGCCACUCCUGUCGGGGAUUCUCUUGGGAUUUGGUCCACGUUUUCCCAACUGUUGCCUUUCCAGCCUUUCCCAUACUUCUCAUGAUAUUCUAGACCCAUCCGGUGGAGUGAAUUGGUCACUUUGGUAAAUCAAACCUAACCAACUCCACACCAAUUUCAAACAAGGCCGUUUUAUUUAAGAGGGUCUUGCAACAACGCUCUUUCAAUUUGUUGCCUUGUCUUCCGCUUGCCUUGUUCGUAUUCUGCCUUGUACCAUUUGGAAACUGGUAGCAAGCCCUGACAAACCUUUCUAAAAAAUGAACUGCUGGGGGAAAGUUAAAAUAAAUGAUAGAAAAAGGGAGAAAAUCUUUCUGAACGAACGCUGGGAAAAAGAAAAGAAAAGAAAAGACUUAUUUGGGUGGUGUACUGGCCCUGAUGAUCAUGUCAUAUAUUCUGGAAUAAUCGAUCCAGUCUAUUGGUAUUAAUCAAUUUCUGAUGGCUUCCUUUACUGGGGAAAAACAGGUGCCCAACGUUUGCCCAAAUGCAGAUCCUUUCCGCCAAUAUUAUCUUGUCGCCUCAUAGUGCCCUUCGAGGGGUUUUCACUAAUAAGACUCUCUCAUUUCUCUCGGCUCUCGUCGCCUUAUGGUGCUUGUGAAGAUUUUCACCGAUAAGACGCUCUCAUUUUAUUUUCUCAGCUGGGAAUGGGGGUGCUACCAAUAAGAUUCUCUCUACUGUGGAAUUCUUUGGAUAUCAACUCUACCGAGGAUUCCUUUGGCUAGCAAUCGUGCUAGGGAUUCCUGCUAGCAAUUGUGCUGGGGGUUCCUGCUAGCAGUUCCCUCAGCUCAUGAUCUUUCCUCGUCCAGGGAUCAGUGUUUUAUUCCUGGCUUCCACUUGCCUGACUCAGUAUCUUUCGGAUAUCGAUCGGGAGGUCUUUUUUGGUUAUAACAUGUGGGUUUUGUGGGCUUGGAAGAAAAAGGGGUAUCAAAAAUUCAAAGUGACUUCGAUGGGUGAGAGACUACAACCCUUGGAAUCAAAAUUUUUCUAACAACUUAACUUCUGCUUGGGGAUUUUUGAUUUUUCACGACAUUUCGUCACACUAUGACCGAGCCGUGAGGCGCCUAUGUAUCCUUUUUUGAGGAAUCAGGUCAAACAUAGUUCCCACAUAUUUGUUUUCUUUUUUUUCUUUUUUUCAAUUUUUUAUUUUUAUUUAUUUUUAUUUUUUAUUAUUAUUUUUUUAACGAUUCCAAGAGAGGGCUAUGAAAGAACAAAUACGGCUCAAAGGGGGAAACAAAGGUUGACAAUGUUUAGGUAGAAGAAAAAUUGCCUCCGUCAUUUCGUUAUCCGAUGAACACCAAGUACAAUAAAACAAAAUAAUGAUAAAUACAAUCAAGGAAUUUACACAUAGUAUCUCUUGACUGCGUGAGAAUUGAUAGCCAUGUCAAUGCAUCUUCCUUCAACAUCCGUCAAGCAAAUGGUCCUUGCUAGUUUGGGGCGAACUUUGCCCUUUGCCUCGACCUGAUGCGGGAGAAUCCAUUUCAAUACCCGCUGCCUUACUUCCAAUUUCCUGAUGUGGGAGAAUCCGUUUGAAUAUGGAUGCUGAUUUUUGUUUCCCUCACAUUGUCGGCAUUCCUCUAAUUGCCAGCUUCAGUGUCAUCCAAGUUGGGCUUGGGUUUUUCUUCGUAUUGGCUUAGUUCCCCGUUUACCUCUUUAAAGACUCCAUCCUCAUCAUAUCCCGAUUCACUAUCACAUUCGAUCUCUUGUAUAAUUAACUCGGAAUUGGAUUGAUCAUUUAGACUGGGCCGAAGAUCCGUCAUGCAUGCCAUGUCAUCAGGUCCAGUGAAAUAGAACCGUUCAAAAAUCAAAAGAAGAAGAAACAACAUUAAACAAAACAAGCAUAGAAAACUUUUAUUUUAAUAAAACAAGGGAUACCAGGGUUCACACUUUUGCUAAAAAACAAAAUUUGGAUUACACCCUGGAAUAAUCCAGAAAACGAGAAAGAUAAAUCAAGGCCUACUACUAAGACUCCCUCCGGGUAGGGAAAGGAGUUGUUGUCUGGUUCUUAAGGUUGUCCCUAGGCCCGCAAACUGCAUAUCAGCCCUGCUGGAACCCUCUCCAGCUUCUAAUACAUUGACGUCGGCGAUCAUCUUUGGCUCCCCCCUUUGUGCACCAGCUCGAUCAUAUGGGUUUCAUGAUGUGCGGGCAAUCGGUUCUGGUUAACGUUUGGUGCCUCCGGCGCCUAAACCUUAGUUUUCUUGGCGUCGAUAAGAUCUUGUAUCGCCUGCUUCAGCUUUCAACAUUUUUCAGUAUCAUGCCCAAGCAUUCCUGAAUAGUAUUCGCAUCUUAGCGAUUGGUCCACAUUUAGGGGUGGGGGAUUUGGAAACCUAUUCUCUAUAGGACUCAACAAACCCAACUGCUUUAACUUGUCAAAUAAAGCGGUAUAGGUGUCUCCCAACUCGGUAUAGGUUCUUUUGUUUUGUGUUCUUUCAUUUCUGUAUGUCGAAUUUUCCCGGAAACCUGCCCCUGGAGGGUUCCUGUUGGCUCUGGGUGGUGGAUAGGUGUUUUGUGGAGGCGGGUAUACGUUUUGUGGAGGUGUAUAUGUGUUUUGGGGAACCGACGUGCGCCGUUGUGGAUGAGCCGGGGUUGAUUGUAGGUUUGGGCUCGGUAUACGGCGAAGUGUGGUUCUUGUGGUGGAUAGUGGUAUUGUGGUGGGCUAUAUGGGGAAUGUGGAUAAUUUUGUUAGUGGGGACUAGGUUGGUCGUAGUAGUGCUGGCCGGAUCUAGACCAAUCGCUAGCUUUGACCGUGGCCACUUCUUCUCUCCUUUCUUCCCAAGCACACCUCCCGUGCCGCUUUGAAUAGCCUGAGGCAUUGCCCUAAGCGUUGCGUAGUUCAGGAUUUUAUCAGACUUAAGUCCCUCCUCUAUCAUAACCCCUAUCUUUACUACUUCAUUGAAGGAUUUUCCAACCGUCGUCACCAGGUGAUCAAAGUAAGUUGGAUCCAGUGUUUGCAGGAAGUAGUCCACCAUUUCCCACUCUCCCAUGGGAGGAUCAACCCUGGCUUCCUGUUCUCUCCAGAGGAACCCGAAUUCACGGAAGCUUUCUCUAGGAUUAUUCCCAGUCCUUAGUAAUGUGAGACGGUCAGGGACUAUCUCGAGAUUGUAUUGGAAGUGACAUGCGAAAGCCUGUGCUAGAUCAUCCUAGUUGUACCACCUGUUGGGAUCCUGUCUGGUAUACCAUUCCUGUGCCGAUCCACUUAAGCUUUGGCCAAAGUAAGCUAUCAGUAGCUCAUCUUUGCUGCCCGCUCCCCUCAUUUUGCAACAGAAUCCCUGUAAAUGUGCCAUAGGGUCGCCAUGCCCUUUAUAUAGAUCGAACUUGGGCAUCUUGAACCCUAACGACAACUGGACGUUAGGAAAAGGGCAUAAAUACUUGUAGGCUACACUGACUUGGUUGACUAAUCCAUGCAUGUUCCUGAAGGUUUGCUCCAGGCUUCUAACUUUCCUCAUUACCUCGUCCUGUUCUGGAUUCCUGGCUGGCUUUUCAUUCUCCGCUGGGAUCUCAAAUUUGGGAUUUUGGGUAUGUGUUUUAAAUGCGGGUUCUGGGGGAUAAUAUUGUGCCUCGUGAGCUUGAAACAAUGGCUAACUAAUAGAUCUUUGCUGUGUGGCUGGUGGGGGUCCCAUGAAAACGGACACAUUUGGAGGUGGCUGUUUCAGGUUGGGUGGUGGAGCUUGGGAGUGAUAGAGGUUUCUUCCCUGGAAGUAGUGUGACUCGGAAAGCCUGUUGACGGGCCAGGGUGAGGGCAUUCUGGCGUGUGCCCAGGUGGAGGAGUACGACUAAUGGACGAUUCAGGCCCCUUUUGCACAUUAGCCAAGGCCAACUUCAUUGCAUUCAUCUCCAACCCCAUUUUCUCUAUCUUUUCCAAGGCUUCUUUUUAGCAACUGUACCUCGGGCCUCUCUUCCUCAACAUUGUUCUCAGAAUUGGUCAUGCUUUUGGGUAUAAGCCCUUUAGAUCUUGUCUGAUAAUGGUAUGGUACCAGUACGCUCUAACAAAAUGACUGAUAGAAUUUGGAAAGAUAACAAACUUGUCAGCGUCACAGUUUUAACAGAUAUUGCACGUUGGGGAUGCAAUGCCCUUAGGCAGUUAACCAUUUCUAAUAUGAUUUCGCUCCAACUGUAUGCGUCAUCCGGCUUAUUUAUGAUUCCCUCUUUUUCUUUUUUUCCUUUUUUUAAUAAAAGACCCGGCAUUGCAAACACGGCCUUUCAGCACAUCGGGAACGAAGAUUUUAAGUCUGCGUUAGCUAACCGACCAAAAUCCCAAAAUAAUGAUUAAAGGUGGCUGUUAAUGCAAAGUCAGCCUUCCGACGUCCCUUUCGGGAACAUUCGUCUAUUUACGGCAAAAACAACAUCACUGACUAAUUUCGGACUCUUUUUUAUCAAAGAUAGAAAACCAGAUAUUUGCAAACACGGCCUUUCGGCGUCUCGGGGACGAAGAUUCUAAGGCUGUGUGGGUCAAUUGACCAAAAAUCUAAAAAAUGACCAAAGGUGGCCAUUUAUGCAAAGUCAGCCUUCCGGCGUCCCUUUCGGGAACAUUCGGCUAUUUUUUAUGUAAACAACAUCACAUCACUUCCUUAUGACGAAAAUUAAAAUUUUGAUAUUUUUUUUCUUUGUGUGGCUAUUUUAGCAAAAUGGGGGGUUGGACCCGAUGAGGGUUGCCUACAUAUCUCACAUCCGGUGUGAAUCAAACCAGCGUAGUUCGGGCAAUUACAUGAACUAUUUUAAAAACAACUCUUUUUUUUCAUUUUCAUUUUAUGGUAUUUCAAAAGCAAAUACUAUUUUUUUAAAAAUAAGACUCUUUUUCAUUUUUAUUUUUGGCAUUUCAUAAGCAAAUAACAAAACUACUUUCUAAAGCACGACUCUUUUUCAUUUUCAUUUUUCAUGGCAAAACAAACUAUUUUCCUUUUUUUUGAAAACAGGACAAAAUAAUGACUCUUUUUUCAUUUUUAACAAAACUAAAACAGCCUAUUUUUCCCAAACUAAAAACAAAUACACUUUUUUCUUUUUCAACAAUUAAUAAAUCAACCUAUUUUUCAAGCUAAAAAUAAAGAAUCUUUUUCUUUUUCAAUAAAACAACCUAUUUUCUUUUCCGUUGGCAAAUACACUAUUCUGAAAACAAGAAGACCUAAAAUAAAGACUCUUUCAUUUUCAUUUUUCUGGGCAAAACAGACUAUUUUUCCUUUUCUAUUUUUGAAAACAAGAGAGAAUAACGACUUUUUUUCUAUUUUUCCUUUGCUUUUUGGUAAAACUAAUAAAACAUUUUUUUUCAUUUUCUCAAAAUUUCGACAAAGUUUCGACGACAUUUGGAAAUUGAUUUUCUAAAAAAAAAUUAAUUAACACUCUACACUGCUAAUUUUUCUCUUUUUUUCUUCAAAUUUUCCGUGCAUUCAAAGCCGGUCAGCAUGCAUGUUUGAAGCAAAUAAAUGCAUAAAGCAAACAGGAUACAACAUGAUGGUCUUUUUACUUCAGGUUGCUUGUCCUAGACGGACCCAACCCAUGUGUUGAGUCCCCUAAGUCGAAUGCACAUGAUACAAAUAAACGUUCCUACUAGGGAUCCGACAUGAAGUUUUGUUAUACUAGGUUCAAACCUGAGUUUUUUGUUCUAGACCUGGCUUACCCGAGCGGACAACUCGAGCCGAGAAUGGGAAUGCGUGCCGGUAACCAAAAGAUCCUCCGGUUUAGCAAUUCCUCCAAAUCCUCGUUCUAAAUUGGGAUAAUGACACUAACAGAAAGAAGUCACGACCAGCGUGCACUCCUCGGGAGGGAGAAGAGAAGCGUUUCGGCACAGUUUAUAUAUAGUCCACAUAAUAUCAAAGCGGUAAAGAAUAAUCAUUUUGCACAUUAAGCACAUAUCACAUGGAAAUAUCAGAUAAUAAAAUAAAGCCAAAAAUACAACAAUUUCUGAGAUCGAAUUCUAACCCUGAACCAGUGGUUCUGGGCAUAUUCCCCAGCAGAGUCGCUAGAGAUGUUGCACCUCCUUUUUCCGCGCCCGCGGGACGCAAGGAGUUUUUCUGAAUUCUAACCCUGACCUAGUGGUACUGGGUCUUAUCCCCAGCAGAGUCGCUAGAGCUGUCGCACCUUCUUUUUCUACACCGCGAGGGUGCAAGGGAGUUUUUCCAAUUAAAGGAUAAUCGAAACGGGAUUAUUUAUUGAAGAUUCAGAGUCACCACUUGGAAAAUUUAUGGCGUCCCAAGUCACCGGUUAAAUCUCAAAUCUAGGAAAACAAUGACUCUAUUUAACAGUCUGCGCACUAGAAAUCCGGAUAAGGAAUUAUGUUAACCCGGGAGAAGGUGUUAGGCAUUCCCGAGUUCCGUGGUUCUAGAACAGUCGCUCAACUGUCAUAUUCGGCUUAAUUAUCUGAUUCUUAUUUAUCUGAUUUUUACAAUUAUAUACUUAGUGCAAGUCAUGAUUCUUUUAACCGCUUUUUUUUAAUUAUUAUUAUUGUUAUUAUUUACAGAGAAUUGCAACAUUGUGAAAAUAUAUCUCGAACCACGUCACAGUCAGUGUACCCGUGGUCGUUGACGCAUUUCGACUCUUUCGAGAUUUGGAUUUGGGUCGCAUAAAUGCACACCCGAGUUUAGGAAGGUAAGAUUAAUUAAGGCGCGUCCUAAAGAGAGUCUAGCAAGUUCUAAUCUUUUGGGAGGAGGCCACGGAAUUUGUUAAAUGGCCUAAUCCGAAGUCUAUCCGCUUAUUGAUCCUUUUAAUUGAGCGCCUCACAGUUUCAUAAUUUGGUUUUGGCGAGGCUCUCCCAUUUCAUUUUUAAUGGAUAUCCUAAAGCGACUACUAUUUUCUAUUUAUUUGCGUCUCUAAAGCAAAACGAAAAUCCUAUAUUAUUUACAAGUUAGUAUUAUUAGCCUAAGUUAUAAGCAUGGUAUUAAUUCCAAAAAAUGAGUACGGAGAAGGAAGGCAGUGAUAACAGCUUGGGUCCAGGCCCAACGUGCAUAGUUCAAAACUUGGGCCUGGGCCAUCUCAUUUUUAUCCUUGAGGCCUAGUGAUAAUAUCUACAUGUGUUUGAUACUAACAAAUGAAGGCAUGAACGAAAAGGUUUUCUUAAAUAGACAAGUUUUUGCCAAUUGGCUAUGCUAUUUAUCCGUUGAUCACCUACAAUAUGUUCAUUCUUCUAAAUAACAUAGGCUGGAAAUGACGAGAACAUGAACUACUGUAUCACUAUCUUUUUUAAACACUAGCAUACGAGGAAAGAGUUUAACAUUUAGACUAUUACGGAUUUUUAUUCAGCUUUACAUGACAAUUAAUGACCUGAACCUAGUGAACUAAUAACUAACAUAUAUAUACAACAUCAGAAGGUACGAGUACAACUACAAGACUUCAGGCUUUAAGGCAUCAUUUUUUAUUCAUGCUUCAAACUUUCAACUACAUUGUCUAUUUUUUAUUCAUGCUUCAAACUUUCAGCUACAUUGUGUACCAGUGUAGCUUGUGUACCUGGUAAUUUUGAAGCAAAGGAAGGAAGGAAGGAUCUGUAGUGAACAGGCAGUACAAACACAACACAACAACAGGUUCAACAGCAGAGAUUUCCAGCAAUAAUAGCAAUAAACCAGUGGCAAUAGAAGACCCAGGAAGGAUUUGAAAUCAAACAGGACACUUAAAGAAACCAACAACAAUUCCAGAAAGUCCAAACAUCAACACCAAGUGUAAGACAAUAAUACCAGAAAGCCAAUAGAGGUGAACCGGUGCUCAAACCCGAAAGAGAUGGUCUGGUAGCAGAUGGAGAAUCAGUAACACACUCAAGAAUAACCACAAGUAACUUCAAGGAGCUAAAUAGCAAUACCAAAUGAACUCUAGUAAUACUAUAUGGACUCAAAAUCAAAACAAGAGGACCAGUUACAAGAGAAGCAAUCCUUCUGAUUUUGAACACUCCAAGAAAAGCGAGCCAGAUUAAGUUUUAAAUAAAGAUCAGCCUUAAACUCUCUCCGGAUUCAAAGAAGCCCUCAGAAAAAUGCUCUCCGACUGACCCCUUUCUUUCAAAGAAAAUCCCCCUUUUAUUCCAUUCUCUCCUCUCAAUCACAUUUUCCUUUUCCGGAUAUUAGGCCUUACUGGAUAGGUAAUCAUACCUGAAUUGGUCCAUUUAAAACAAAAGUAGUCUUUCACUAAUAGUUGUCUAUUAAUUUUCCAAUGUCACUUAGAAAUGUCCCUCUUUUGUUUCUUAGUGCCCUACUUAUUACUUAGUGGCCCCAUAAUCCCAUUAGUUCAAAUUAAAGUUGUUAAGGCCCUACAGGAUAGACCAAAUAGUCAAACUAUAUUUCCUUAUUUUCUACUCCUAAAAC